rnacentral:rRNA from 1 species
UGGGGAAUUUUGGACAAUGGGCGAAAGCCUGAUCCAGCAAUGCCGCGUGUGUGAAGAAGGCCUUCGGGUUGUAAAGCACUUUUGUCCGGAAAGAAAUCCUUGGCUCUAAUACAGUCGGGGGAUGACGGUACCGGAAGAAUAAGCACCGGCUAACUACGUGCCAGCAGCCGCGGUAAUACGUAGGGUGCAAGCGUUAAUCGGAAUUACUGGGCGUAAAGCGUGCGCAGGCGGUUUGCUAAGACCGAUGUGAAAUCCCCGGGCUCAACCUGGGGAACUGCAUUGGUGACUGGCAGGCUAGAGUAUGGCAGAGGGGGGUAGAAUUCCACGUGUAGCAGUGAAAUGCGUAGAGAUGUGGAGGAAUACCGAUGGCGAAGGCAGCCCCCUGGGCCAAUACUGACGCUCAUGCACGAAAGCGUGGGGAGCAAACAGGAUUAGAUACCCUGGUAGUCCACGCCCUAAACGAUGUCAACUAGUUGUUGGGGAUUCAUUUCCUUAGUAACGUAGCUAACGCGUGAAGUUGACCGCCUGGGGGAGUACGGUCGCAAGAUUAAAACUUAAA